rnacentral:rRNA from 1 species
UUGAACGCUGGCGGCAUGCCUUACACAUGCAAGUCGAACGGUAACAGGUCUUCGGAUGCUGACGAGUGGCGACCGGGUGAGUAAUACAUCGGAACGUGCCCGAUCGUGGGGGAUAACGGAGCGAAAGCUUUGCUAAUACCGCAUACGAUCUACGGAUGAAAGCAGGGGACCGCAAGGCCUUGCGCGGACGGAGCGGCCGAUGGCAGAUUAGGUAGUUGGUGGGAUAAAAGCUUACCAAGCCGACGAUCUGUAGCUGGUCUGAGAGGACGACCAGCCACACUGGGACUGAGACACGGCCCAGACUCCUACGGGAGGCAGCAGUGGGGAAUUUUGGACAAUGGGCGAAAGCCUGAUCCAGCCAUGCCGCGUGCAGGAUGAAGGCCUUCGGGUUGUAAACUGCUUUUGUACGGAACGAAAAGACUCUUUCUAAUAAAGAGGGUCCAUGACGGUACCGUAAGAAUAAGCACCGGCUAACUACGUG